ensembl:rRNA 5S_rRNA 5S ribosomal RNA
AUCUACUACCAUGCCACUCUGAGUGUGCCUGAUCUUGGAAGCCAAACAGGGUUGGAACUAGUUAGUACUUGAAUUGGAAAGGAUGAAUGAAUUAUCUUAGAGUAAUUU